rnacentral:rRNA from 1 species
GAUGAACGCUGGCGGCGUGCCUAAUACAUGCAAGUCGAGCGAACAGACGAGGAGCUUGCUCCUCUGACGUUAGCGGCGGACGGGUGAGUAACACGUGGAUAACCUACCUAUAAGACUGGGAUAACUUCGGGAAACCGGAGCUAAUACCGGAUAAUAUAUUGAACAGCAUGGUUCAAUAGUGAAAGACGGUUUUGCUGUCACUUAUAGAUGGAUCCGCGCCGCAUUAGCUAGUUGGUAAGGUAACGGCUUACCAAGGCAACGAUGCGUAGCCGACCUGAGAGGGUGAUCGGCCACACUGGAACUGAGACACGGUCCAGACUCCUACGGGAGGCAGCAGUAGGGAAUCUUCCGCAAAGGGCGAAAGCCUGACGGAGCAACGCCGCGUGAGUGAUGAAGGUCUUCGGAUCGUAAAACUCUGUUAUUAGGGAAGAACAAAUGUGUAAGUAACUAUGCACGUCUUGACGGUACCUAAUCAGAAAGCCACGGCUAACUACGUG